AAAAAUGAGCGCAGUUCCGCAGGGAAAGUGAGGGACUUUUGGGGGCAGGUAUGUUUCAGCUGCACAAUCAUAAUGCCCCUAAAAAUCCUUAUUGUUCCUGCAGUAAUCGUCAAGAUACAA
rnacentral:pre_miRNA from 17 species